rnacentral:rRNA from 1 species
UGGGGAAUCUUGGACAAUGGGGGCAACCCUGAUCCAGCCAUGCCGCGUGAGUGAUGAAGGCCUUAGGGUCGUAAAGCUCUUUCGCCUGUGAAGAUAAUGACGGUAGCAGGUAAAGAAACCCCGGCUAACUCCGUGCCAGCAGCCGCGGUAAUACGGAGGGGGUUAGCGUUGUUCGGAAUUACUGGGCGUAAAGCGCACGUAGGCGGACCAGAAAGUUGGGGGUGAAAUCCCGGGGGCUCAACCCCGGAACUGCCUCCAAAACUAUUGGUCUAGAGUUCGAGAGAGGUGAGUGGAAUUCCAAGUGUAGAGGUGAAAUUCGUAGAUAUUUGGAGGAACACCAGUGGCGAAGGCGGCUCACUGGCUCGAUACUGACGCUGAGGUGCGAAAGUGUGGGGAGCAAACAGGAUUAGAUACCCUGGUAGUCCACACCGUAAAACGAUGAAUGCCAGUCGUCGGGUAGCAUGCUAUUCGGUGACACACCUAACGGAUUAAGCAUUCCG